UACGUAGGGUGCAAGCGUUGUCCGGAAUUAUUGGGCGUAAAGAGCUCGUAGGCGGUCUGUUACGUCGGCUGUGAAAACCUGGGGCUCAACCCCGGGCCCUGCAACCGAUACGGGCAGACUAGAGUUCGGCAGGGGAGACUGGAAUUCCUGGUGGAGCGGUGAAAUGCGUUGAUAUCGACCGGAACUCCGGUGGCGAAGGCGAGGUGCUGGACCCUUUCUGACGCUGAGGCGCGAAAGCCAGGGGAGCAAACGGG
rnacentral:rRNA from 1 species